CGCUUAGAAUAAUGGUUUACUUUAAUUUGGUUCAAUGUAAGUGUUCGUUGUUAACAAAAACUGGCCCACAUCACUAUUGUUUUUGCAGGGGUGGCAAAGAAACAGUCAAAUGGAGUAAAACGAAGAAUGAGGACAGAGAAAGGAGGGCUCAUUGGAGACCCAGCGUCUGGAAAAAUGACCAAAUGAAGGAAGAUGCCAGUAAAUAUUUGCUGAACUUGCCCUGUGUGCCCAUUGUAGAUAAAGCCACCGAAAAUAACCCUAUCCAACCGGACAGAGAAGCCAAAGCAUGUAGGGAAGCAGCAGCAACAAUGAGAGAAAACAACGCAAACCAGAAACCAAAAUACCACCUCUGCUCACCACCACCCUGCACAGGCUCUGCCCACCGCCAUCCUGCAAAACGUACAGGCUCUCCUCCCAGAUCCACGUGGGACUGGCUCCUUUGUACUCGAGGGACUGAGUGCACAUGUCACCUCCCAGACCACUGAGAUAAAGAAACCAAAGCACAGAAGUUAAAGGGUUGGAUGGAGGGAACCAACUGUCCAUCAACAGGCCAAUGGAUAAACCAAAGUGGUUUGUACACACAAUGGAGCAUUAGCCUUAUAAAGAAGGAAAUUCUGACAAGAAAUUGUUACAGCAUAGAUGAACUUUAAGAACUUAUGCUAAGUGAAAUAAACUAGCCAGGAAAAGACA